rnacentral:rRNA from 1 species
UGGGGAAUUUUGGACAAUGGGCGCAAGCCUGAUCCAGCCAUGCCGCGUGAGUGAAGAAGGCCUUCAGGUUGUAAAGCUCUUUCGGCCGGGACGAAAUCGCACGGGUUAACACCGCGUGUGGAUGACGGUACCGGAAUAAGAAGCACCGGCUAACUACGUGCCAGCAGCCGCGGUAAUACGUAGGGUGCGAGCGUUAAUCGGAAUUACUGGGCGUAAAGGGUGCGCAGGCGGUUUUGUAAGCCAGAUGUGAAAUCCCCGGGCUUAACCUGGGAACUGCAUUUGGGACUGCAAGGCUAGAGUACGGCAGAGGGGGGUAGAAUUCCUGGUGUAGCAGUGAAAUGCGUAGAUAUGUGGAGGAACACCGAUGGCGAAGGCAGCCCCCUGGGUUAACACUGACGCUCAGGCACGAAAGCGUGGGGAGCAAACAGG